rnacentral:rRNA from 1 species
UGCCUAAUACAUGCAAGUCGAGCGAACGGACGAGAAGCUUGCUUCUCUGAUGUUAGCGGCGGACGGGUGAGUAACACGUGGAUAACCUACCUAUAAGACUGGGAUAACUUCGGGAAACCGGAGCUAAUACCGGAUAAUAUUUUGAACCGCAUGGUUCAAAAGUGAAAGACGGUCUUGCUGUCACUUAUAGAUGGAUCCGCGCUGCAUUAGCUAGUUGGUAAGGUAACGGCUUACCAAGGCAACGAUGCAUAGCCGACCUGAGAGGGUGAUCGGCCACACUGGAACUGAGACACGGUCCAGACUCCUACGGGAGGCAGCAGUAGGGAAUCUUCCGCAAUGGGCGAAAGCCUGACGGAGCAACGCCGCGUGAGUGAUGAAGGUCUUCGGAUCGUAAAACUCUGUUAUUAGGGAAGAACAUAUGUGUA